rnacentral:rRNA from 1 species
CCUACGGGAGGCAGCAGUGGGGAAUCUUGCGCAAUGGGCGAAAGCCUGACGCAGCAACGCCGCGUGAACGAUGAAGGCCUUCGGGUCGUAAAGUUCUGUCAGGGGGGACGAAGAUCUGACGUACCNCCGGACGACNGAGANGGNNNC